rnacentral:rRNA from 1 species
CCUACGGGAGGCAGCAGUGAGGAAUAUUGGUCAAUGGGCGCGAGCCUGAACCAGCCAAGUCGCGUGAGGGAGGACGGCCCUACGGGUUGUAAACCUCUUUUGCCGGGGAGCAACGGGCGUCACGUGUGGCGCCACUGAGAGUACCCGGAGAAAAAGCAUCGGCUAACUCCGUGCCAGCAGCCGCGGUCAUACGGGGGAUGCGAGCGUUAUCCGGAUUUAUUGGGUUUAAAGGGUGCGUAGGCGGGUCGUUAAGUCAGGGGUCAAAUUGAGGGGCUCAACCCCUUCCCGCCAUUGAAACUGGCGUUCUUGAGUGGAAGAGAAGUAUGCGGAAUGCGUGGUGUAGCGGUGAAAUGCAUAGAUAUCACGCAGAACCCCGAUUGCGAAGGCAGCAUGCCGGCUUCCGACUGACGCUGAAGCACGAAAGCGUGGGGAUCGAACAGGAUUAGAUACCCCAGUAGUC